rnacentral:rRNA from 1 species
UAAGGAAUAUUGGACAAUGCUCGCAAGAGUGAUCCAGCCAUUCCGCGUGCAGGAUGACUGCCCUAUGGGUUGUAAACUGCUUUUAGAUAGGAAGAAAGUGUGGUAUUUAUGCCAUUUUGACGGUACUAUCAGAAUAAGGACCGGCUAACUCCGUGCCAGCAGCCGCGGUAAUACGGAGGGUCCAAGCGUUAUCCGGAAUCACUGGGUUUAAAGGGUGCGUAGGCGGAUAACUAAGUCUAAGGUGAAAGUCUGUGGCUUAACUAUAGAAUUGCCUUGGAUACUGGUUAUCUUGAAUUGGGUUGAGGAUUGCGGAAUGUGACAUGUAGCGGUGAAAUGCAUAGAUAUGUCAU